rnacentral:tRNA from 1 species
AUGGUGUCCCGCCAUCGCCGGCAGGCAGCUGCCCCGGGCCGGGCCGAUGGCCGACGCCCACUCGGCCGGGAUC